GACGAACGCUGGCGGCGUGCCUAAUACAUGCAAGUAGAACGCUGAAGGAGGAGCUUGCUCUUCUGGAUGAGUUGCGAACGGGUGAGUAACGCGUAGGUAACCUGCCUGGUAGCGGGGGAUAACUAUUGGAAACGAUAGCUAAUACCGCAUAAUAGUAGAUGUUGCAUGACAUUUGCUUGAAAGGUGCAAUUGCAUCACUACCAGAUGGACCUGCGUUGUAUUAGCUAGUUGGUGGGGUAACGGCUCACCAAGGCGACGAUACAUAGCCGACCUGAGAGGGUGAUCGGCCACACUGGGACUGAGACACGGCCCAGACUCCUACGGGAGGCAGCAGUAGGGAAUCUUCGGCAAUGGACGGAAGUCUGACCGAGCAACGCCGCGUGAGUGAAGAAGGUUUUCGGAUCGUAAAGCUCUGUUGUAAGAGAAGAACGAGUGUGAGAGUGGAAAGUUCAUACUGUGACGGUAUCUACCA
rnacentral:rRNA from 1 species